UGGGAAACUGCCUGAUGGAGGGGGAUAACUACUGGAAACGGUAGCUAAUACCGCAUAACUAGAUGGCUGCGUCUACGGACCAAAGUGGGGGACCUUCGGGCCUCAUGCCAUCAGAUGUGCCCAGAUGGGAUUAGCUAGUAGGUGGGGUAAUGGCUCACCUAGGCGACGAUCCCUAGCUGGUCUGAGAGGAUGACCAGCCACACUGGAACUGAGACACGGUCCAGACUCCUACGGGAGGCUUAGUUGGGGAAUAUUGCACAAUGGGCGCAAGCCUGAUGCAGCCAUGCCGCGUGUGUGAAGAAGGCCUUCGGGUUGUAAAGCACUUUCAGCGAGGAGGAAGGGUUCUGUGUUAAUAGCACUGUGCAUUGACGUUACUCGCAGAAGAAGCACCGGCUAACUCCGUGCCAGCAGCCGCGGUAAUACGGAGGGUGCAAGCGUUAAUCGGAAUUACUGGGCGUAAAGCGCACGCAGGCGGUUUGUUAAGUCAGAUGUGAAAUCCCCGCGCUUAACGUGGGAACUGCAUUUGAAACUGGCAAGCUAGAGUCUUGUAGAGGGGGGUAGAAUUCCAGGUGUAGCGGUGAAAUGCGUAGGGAUCUGGAGGAAUACCGGUGGCGAAGGCGGCCCCCUGGACAAAGACUGACGCUCAGGUGCGAAAGCGUGGGGAGCAAACAGGAUUAGAUACCCUGGUAGUCCCCGCUGUAAACGAUGUCGACUUGGAGGUUGUGCCCUUGAGGCGUGGCUUCCGGAGCUAACGCGUUAAGUCGACCGCCUGGGGAGUACGGCCGCAAGGUUAAAACUCAAAUGAAUUGACGGGGGCCCGCACAAGCGGUGGAGCAUGUGGUUUAAUUCGAUGCAACGCGAAGAACCAGUACCUACUCUUGACAUCCAGAGAAUUCGCUAGAGAUAGCUUGUGCCUUCGGGAACUCUGAGACAGGUGCUGCAUGGCUGUCGUCAGCUCGUGUUGUGAAAUGUUGGGUUAAGUCCCGCAACGAGCGCAACCCUUAUCCUUUGUUGCCAGCGCGUAAUGGUGGGAACUCAAAGGAGACUGCCGGUGAUAAACCGGAGGAAGGUGGGGAUGACGUCUUAGUCAUCAUGGCCCUUACGAGUAGGGCUACACACGGCUACAAUGGCGUAUACAAAGAGAAGCGAACUCGCGAGAGCAAGCGGACCUCAUAAAGUACGUCGUAGUCCGGAUCGGAGUCUGCAACUCGACUCCGUUUAGUCGGAAUCGCUAGUAAUCGUAGAUCAGAAUGCUACGGUGAAUACGUUCAAUGCCGGGCCUUGUACACAAUG
rnacentral:rRNA from 1 species